AUUGGAACAAUUUUUCAAAUAUUAUAACAUAAAGCAUGUUACUGGUAUACCACACAAUCCUACAGGACAAGCAGUGGUUGAGAGAUCUAAUAGAACACUUAAGGAGAUGCUCAACAAACAAGCUUGGAAGACUAAACCCCCCAAACAUAGGUUACAUAAUGCUUUAUUAACACUAAACUUUCUUAAUGCCAAUAAAAAAGGACAAACAGCUACAGAAAGACACUGGACUAUGGAGAAAACUGCUAAACUCAAUCAGCCGAUAUACUUCAAAGAUGUACUAACCUCUGUCUGGAAACCAGGACAUGUGUUACGUUGGGGUAGAGGUUUUACAUUGGUUUCUACAGGAGAAGAAAAACUUUGGAUACCAUCAAAGUUGAUCAAGAUUCGAGUGAAAAAGGAAAAACCUCUCGACGAGGACAAAUAACAGCCAAUAAAGACCUGCCUGACAGCAAUCCUUGGACACCCUAAAAAGAAAAUGGACCACACCUCCUCGACUGCACUGGAUCCAACUUGUUCCAUUUCAAUGGACACUCCAGCCAGAGGUUCAGAUACUGACUUCAAUCAAGUUGAAAAUUUCAAGCGAGAUCUUCAAUCAAAUAAAUCCCAUCUAACAUGGACUGGAUACAAUUCAUUCAAGACUUUUACUAUACUAACAUUUUCUUCCUACAGGACCCCACAUGACUAUCAUUGUCCCAUUUCAGCAGGAAGUAACUUGGAGGAUGCUACUCCCCCUUUCCCAUUUGUUGUCACUUAGGAUAAUGUAUAUAACUAGUUAGGGAUAGCUUCCUAUUGUUUAUCGUUGGGAUUGGAAGGAGGUGUUCAGGCUUGGAUACCUCUUUCAGAUGACUUUAGGGUUUAGUUAAAAUAGAUAGGAUGUGACAUAAGCAGAUUGUUGUAUCUUCUUAUAUUUUACCUUUAUGAUUGUUAAUUUUGGAUACUUUAUACUGUUAAGUUUUAAUCCUCUUUUAGACUAAAAGGGGAAUUGUAGGGAAAGCUGUAGCCACGCCUUCUUAGGGGCUGGCUACAGAUGUGCCUGACUAGGCAUGUGAGGGCAUGGUCAGAGUGACGUAGUGGGACUGGGUUUUCGCUUUCGGUUUCUCUUUGCUGUUUGCUGUACAGACCUCUACCAUGCCAGCUGGCUAGGUUGCUCUGUAAG
rnacentral:lncRNA from 1 species